rnacentral:rRNA from 1 species
UGGGGAAUCUUGCGCAAUGGGCGAAAGCCUGACGCAGCGACGCCGCGUGCGGGAUGACGGCCUGGUUGUAACCGCUUUCAGCAGGGACGAGGCCGCAAGGUGACGGUACC